rnacentral:rRNA from 1 species
UAGAGUUUGAUCCCUGGCUCAGAUUGAACGCUGGCGGCAUGCCCUUACACAUGCAAGUCGAACGGCAGCACGGGAGCAAUCCUGGUGGCGAGCGGCGAACGGGUGAGUAAUAUAUCGGAACGUGCCCAGUCGUGGGGGAUAACGUAGCGAAAGCUACGCUAAUACCGCAUACGAUCUACGGAUGAAAGCGGGGGAUCGCAAGACCUCGCGCGAUUGGAGCGGCCGAUAUCAGAUUAGCUAGUUGGUGGGGUAAAAGCCCACCAAGGCGACGAUCUGUAGCUGGUCUGAGAGGACGACCAGCCACACUGGAACUGAGACACGGUCCAGACUCCUACGGGAGGCAGCAGUGGGGAAUUUUGGACAAUGGGCGCAAGCCUGAUCCAGCAAUGCCGCGUGCAGGAUGAAGGCCUUCGGGUUGUAAACUGCUUUUGUACGGAACGAAACGGCUCUCUUUAAUACGGAGGGCUAAUGACGGUACCGUAAGAAUAAGCACCGGCUAACUACGUGCCAGCAGCCGCGGUAAUACGUAGGGUGCGAGCGUUAAUCGGAAUUACUGGGCGUAAAGCGUGCGCAGGCGGUUAUAUAAGACAGAUGUGAAAUCCCUGGGCUCAACCUAGGACCUGCAUUUGUGACUGUAUAGCUAGAGUACGGUAGAGGGGGAUGGAAUUCCGCGUGUAGCAGUGAAAUGCGUAGAUAUGCGGAGGAACACCGAUGGCGAAGGCAAUCCCCUGGACCUGUACUGACGCUCAUGCACGAAAGCGUGGGGAGCAAACAGGAUUAGAUACCCUGGUAGUCCACGCCCUAAACGAUGUCAACUGGUUGUUGGGUCUUCACUGACUCAGUAACGAAGCUAACGCGUGAAGUUGACCGCCUGGGGAGUACNGGCCGCAAGGUUGAAACUCAAAGGAAUUGACGG